rnacentral:rRNA from 1 species
GAUGAACGCUAGCGGCAGGCUUAACACAUGCAAGUCGAGGGGUAGAGGAAGCUUGCUUCCUUGAGACCGGCGCACGGUGCGUAACGCGUAUGCAAUCUACCUUAUACAGGGGGAUAGCCCAGAGAAAUUUGGAUUAAUACCCCAUAGUAUAAUUGAAUGGCAUCAUUUAAUUAUUAAAGUUCCAACGGUAUAAGAUGAGCAUGCGUCCAUUAGCUAGUUGGUGUGGUAACGGCACAUCAAGGCGACGAUGGGUAGGGGUCCUGAGAGGGAGAUCCCCCACACUGGUACUGAGACACGGACCAGACUCCUACGGGAGGCAGCAGUGAGGAAUAUUGGUCAAUGGGCGCAAGCCUGAACCAGCCAUGCCGCGUGCAGGAUGACGGUCCUAUGGAUUGUAAACUGCUUUUGUACAGGAAGAAACACUCCCUCGUGAGGGAGCUUGACGGUACUGUAAGAAUAAGGAUCGGCUAACUCCGUGCCAGCAGCCGCGGUAAU